rnacentral:rRNA from 1 species
UACGGGGGGAGUAAGCGUUGUUCGGAAUUACUGGGCGUAAAGGGCUCGUAGGCGGCCAACUAAGUCAGACGUGAAAUCCCUCAGCUUAACUGGGGAACUGCGUCUGAUACUGGAAGGCUUGAAUCCGGGAGAGGGAUGUGGAAUUCCAGGUGUAGCGGUGAAAUGCGUAGAUAUCUGGAGGAACACCGGUGGCGAAGGCGGCAUCCUGGACCGGUAUUGACGCUGAGGCGCGAAAGCUAGGGGAGCAAACGGG